rnacentral:lncRNA from 1 species
AUGGAUCUGUCUGCUGCACUGAGUUGUUGCUCCGCUGUCUCUGUUGUGGUCCCCUCACCGCCGGAUGCAACAAAGGCCACAACAAUCAACCAAAAUGCCCUCGUCCCCUCACACCCCGUCCCCCCUCCCCGUGCCGGCGGCAGCACAGGAGUUCAAUCUGUGGCCAUGGACAACGACGGUGGCGCGUCCCCGUCAUCCUUGCUCUCCCUGUCAUGCUACCUGUCUCCAUUUCCCAUCGCCGUGGCGCCCCCCAGCCACCUAGUUGUCACCAUCCCCAUCCUGAAGCCGGGCUCCUCCUCUGGUAGCAACGGGGGAGGAGGAGCAGGGACAGGGGUCGGGAGGACACCUAGAGCAACGGUGCCACCUCCACACUGGUCGACGCUUGGGGGAGCGCUUCGUCGUACUCGGCCGAGGGAGCCUCCGCCACCCAUAGUGGCAAGGGUCGCCGUGGUCAUCUGCUCCUACGACGGUGUUAACGACCAAAUUUGGUGAAUCAUAGAUU